UNGACACAGGAUAGGGGCAUGGUAGGCCAGGU
rnacentral:piRNA from 1 species